UGAUGGGGAAGAAAUGGGUGAAGAAAUGGGUGACAGGGAGAAAAUAAUGUUUUUUUGUUUAUUUAUUUAUUUUUUUUUGAUGGGUAAGGAAUGGGUGGUGGAGAAAAUAGCGUUUUAUUUAUUUAUUCAUUUAUUUAUCUUCUUCCUGACCUCUUCUCCACUCAAGUAAACUAUAUCAUGUCCCACCAAUUCUCUCUCUCUCUCUCUCUCUCUCUCUCUCUCUCUCUUGAAGUUUUCUAUUAUUUUCUCUCAAAUUAAAGAGGGGUGGUGGAGUUUGACCUCUCUAUACCUCACCUGCCUAUCACUGAAACUUUUGAAUGGAGUUUACUUUAGGAGAUACUAGCAGGUUAGGUGGUCACAAAUAUACCUCUCCUAGCUGAAUUUACCGAGUAAUUGAAAUAACUAUGUUUUCAGUUUGGUCUCCCACACACACACAGACAAAAUUAAGUCUUUAAAAAUACGAUAUAAUUGCUAAUAUCUUGUGUGGAGUAGGUAAUGUAGGCUUCACACAUAAACAAACUUGAGUCUUUAGAGAAUAAGUUAUAAUUCCUAAUAUCUUGUGUGGGAAAAUGUUUUGGAUUCAUUUUAAUUAAGUCAUCCUCACCCAUAAAACAAAGUUGAGUUAGAGGAUAUGAUAAACAGAUUACAUCAAGCAUUUAUCAGACUGAAAUGUGUUAGGCUUCAAUACUGUAAAAUGUUUUGGGACCGUAAGUAAAGCAGAUAUGUAAAGCCAGGAGUGUUCUAGAGCAAACAGUUUUUAUCUUAAGUACAGCCACUGGGAUUAUGUGUGUAAUGAAGAUUUGUAGACCAAGAAAUUCCCCCAUCCACCCAAAUAAAAAAAUAAAAAAGAUUUAUAUAAUUGGAUUGGUUCAUCAUUAACACUGUCACUAAAGCAUUACAAAAUAAGAACAUGAGAAAUUAAUAAUGGGAAAAAUACGAAAAAAAGCCAGAGAUAAAUGCUAACAUAACCAUAACAAAGAAAAUAUUUAAGCCCGCGGUCUCUUCCCCUUGUAAGUCACGUAGCGCAGGGUCAGGAAUGGCUUGGCUUCAAAAUGUGGCUUUUUUUUUUCCUGCUCCCUCCUUCAGCUGCACUUUUCCCGCGACACACUUCAGUCACAAGAUGAAUGCAGUCAGCUACAGCAUGACAUAGACAAGCUAUAGACAGUUGAGAGAGGAAGAAGUCAGUGGCACCCUCACCUCAGACAAGACAAAGCUAACAAUUGAUAAUGAAAGACACACUUCAGUCACAAGAUGAAUGCAGUCAGCUACAGCAUGACAUAGACAAGCUAUAGACAGUUGAGAGAGGAAGAAGUCAGUGGCACCCUCACCUCAGACAAGACAAAGCUAACAAUUGAUAAUGAAAGGUGACAUUAUUCUCUUUAAAGGA